rnacentral:rRNA from 1 species
AUUGAACGCUGGCGGCAGGCCUAACACAUGCCAGUCGAACGGUAACAGGAAGAAGCUUGCUUCUUUGCUGACGAGUGGCGGACGGGUGAGUAAUGUCUGGGAAACUGCCUGAUGGAGGGGGAUAACUACUGGAAACGGUAGCUAAUACCGCAUAACGUCGCAAGACCAAAGAGGGGGACCUUCGGGCCUCUUGCCAUCGGAUGUGCCCAGAUGGGAUUAGCUAGUAGGUGGGGUAACGGCUCACCUAGGCGACGAUCCCUAGCUGGUCUGAGAGGAUGACCAGCCACACUGGAACUGAGACACGGUCCAGACGCCUACGGGAGGCAGCAGUGGGGAAUAUUGCACAAUGGGCGCAAGCCUGAUGCAGCCAUGCCGCGUGUAUGAAGAAGGCCUUCGGGUUGUAAAGUACUUUCAGCGGGGAGGAAGGGAGUAAAGUUAAUACCUUGGCUCAUUGACGUUACCCGCAGAAGAAGCACCGGCUAACUCCGUG